rnacentral:rRNA from 1 species
AUUGAACGCUGGCGGCAGGCCUAACACAUGCAAGUCGAGCGGAUGAAGGGAGCUUGCUCCUGGAUUCAGCGGCGGACGGGUGAGUAAUGCCUAGGAAUCUGCCUGGUAGUGGGGGAUAACGUCCGGAAACGGGCGCUAAUACCGCAUACGUCCUGAGGGAGAAAGUGGGGGAGCUUCGGACCUCACGCUAUCAGAUGAGCCUAGGUCGGAUUAGCUAGUUGGUGGGGUAAAGGCCUACCAAGGCGACGAUCCGUAACUGGUCUGAGAGGAUGAUCAGUCACACUGGAACUGAGACACGGUCCAGACUCCUACGGGAGGCAGCAGUGGGGAAUAUUGGACAAUGGGCGAAAGCCUGAUCCAGCCAUGCCGCGUGUGUGAAGAAGGUCUUCGGAUGGUAAAGCACUUUAAGUUGGGAGGAAGGGCAGUAAGUUAAUCCCUUGCUGUUUUGACGUUACCAAAAGAAUAAGCACCGGCUAACUUCGUG